rnacentral:rRNA from 1 species
GACGAACGCUGGCGGCGUGCUUAACACAUGCAAGUCGAACGAAAAGAGGGAAAGAGCUUGCUCUUUCCGGAAUUGAGUGGCAAACGGGUGAGUAACACGUAAACAACCUGCCUUCAGGAUGGGGACAACAGACGGAAACGACUGCUAAUACCGAAUAAGUUCCAAGGGCCGCAUGGCCCAUGGAAGAAAAGGUGGCCUCUACCUGUAAGCUAUCGCCUGAAGAGGGGUUUGCGUCUGAUUAGCUGGUUGGCGGGGUAACGGCCCACCAAGGCGACGAUCAGUAGCCGGUCUGAGAGGAUGAGCGGCCACACUGGAACUGAGACACGGUCCAGACUCCUACGGGAGGCAGCAGUGGGGGAUCUUCCGCAAUGGGCGAGAGCCUGACGGAGCAACGCCGCGUGAGUGAUGACGGCCUUCGGGUUGUAAAACUCUGUGAUCCGGGACGAAAAGGCAGAGUGCGAAGAACAAACUGCAUUGACGGUACCGGAAAAGCAAGCCACGGCUAACUACGUG